UUUAGCAACACAAUCUUUUAAAUUAGUAUAUACUUCAUUCUAUUUCUGAAACAUGUUGGCAAAUGAACACGACUUCGAAUUGUCAGGUGUAAAUAAUUAAUGGAAUAGAAGAUCGACAAUUUCAUGAAGAGAUUUGGAAAGAAUCCCAUUGGAAUAUCCGUUGGAGGAUUCUUUUAUAUUAAGAGAAAUUUCGUCAUAAGAGUAAUUAGCGGCUUAUACUCCACAUUAUCUUCGUUUAUUCAAAUUAGUGGUGUAUUGGAACGUGAAAACAAAUGUAUUGUUACGCACAGAAACCACA